rnacentral:rRNA from 1 species
AUUGAACGCUGGCGGCAUGCCUUACACAUGCAAGUCGAACGGUAACAGGUCUUCGGAUGCUGACGAGUGGCGAACGGGUGAGUAAUACAUCGGAACGUGCCCGAUCGUGGGGGAUAACGAAGCGAAAGCUUUGCUAAUACCGCAUACGAUCUACGGAUGACAGCAGGGGACCGCAAGGCCUUGCGCGAACGGAGCGGCCGAUGGCAGAUUAGGUAGUUGGUGGGAUAAAAGCUUACCAAGCCGACGAUCUGUAGUUGGUCUGAGAGGACGACCAGCCACACUGGGACUGAGACACGGCCCAGACUCCUACGGGAGGCAGCAGUGGGGAAUUUUGGACAAUGGGCGAAAGCCUGAUCCAGCCAUGCCGCGUGCAGGAUGAAGGCCUUCGGGUUGUAAACUGCUUUUGUACGGAACGAAAAGACUCUGGUUAAUACCUGGGGUCCAUGACGGUACCGUAAGAAUAAGCACCGGCUAACUACGUG